AUGGCUCUUGAGACAAAACAAGUUGGUCUGUGUAUCAAGAAAGUUCUGAGGUCCUCCAUUAGAACAAGCUACAGAUGUGUCUCUGAACAUCCAGUCCUGUUCAGUUUGGGUGUUUUGCUCUACUUAUUGUACAGAUCUGCCCCGGGAUUCUUUGCGUUCCUUCUUUCCUCUUCACCUGUAAUUAUAUGUACCACUCUUCUUCUGGGAAUCCUACUGAGUUAUGGAGACACGAACCUACCUGAAGCUAAUGAUGAGGAUACCAAGACUACUCCAGAGAUUCCAGCUUUUAAGAUGGAGAAUUCUUCAAGGGAUGUUCAGUUUGGGUCAGAUCAGAGAAUUUCGGUGCCUAGUUUUAGGAAUACUACAGAAAACUUCAAAGAAAGGGAAACAAAGCGGACAGGUUCUGUCAGAGAGAGGUCUACUCAGCUUGAUGAUGAGGUUCCUCUUCUGAGAAGAGUUGAUGAAGAAGAUGAGAAGUUUGAACAUGGCGACAAACCUAAAACAUUAACUCCAUUUCCUUCCAUGGUCAAUUUCCGUGGAGAGGCCGGGUUUAGGGAGGGCUUAAACUUUAACCAGGGAAUGCAAUUCGCAGAUUCAUUUUUUGUGACAGAUAUGGCUGAUAGGAACGCUAGCUUAUUUGAAGGUCUGAAUGAGAAGAAUGCACCCUUGGACAUGUUCUCAUCCAGUGAGAAUUUUAAUAAGCAUGCUGAAAUGCAGGAGAAUCUGAAUCUAGCAGCUAGCAAAGUGAGUGAUUUCUCUGAAGAGAAGCUGACUGAUGGGAUAGCUGGAACUAGCAGACCAACUUAUGCAGUUUCUGUGCGGCAGAAUAAAAAGCUUGAUGUGCUUAAGGUUAAUACUAGCAAGGCCGUUGAGGAAAAUCUCCUUGAUUCCUCUCUUGGUUCACCAUGGGCAUCAGUUGGCAGUCAGGAUGGUUCAUCUGGUUUUGACUCUGAUGGGGCUGAGAGUUCUUCACCUGAUGCAUCCAUGACUGACAUUGCACCAGUUCUUGAUGAAAUCGACCCUCUUCUGGGUGCUGAUUUCACUCGUCCUGAUCCCAUUCCUAAUGAUGAUUCAGACAGUGAUUCACAUGUCUCCUCGCAGGAUCAUGAAAUGGAUGAUGAUAGUAAUGAUGAUGAUGAUGAUGGCAACAAUGAUACUAAAGAUGGUGAGGAGAACAAGAAAGAUGAAGGUCAGGAAGCUGCAUUUAUUUGGACAGCAGAUGAUGCAAAGAAUCUGAUGGAUCUUGGAUACUCUGAGAUGGAAAGAAACCGUAGAUUGGAGAUUUUGAUGGUUAGGCGAAGAUCCAGGAAGAAUAUAAUAUUUGACAUUGACAGUAACCUAACGGAUGCCAAUGGGAAAAGCGGAGAUGACUUAUCACGCUUUGGUGCACAAGUAUCACACAUCUCAGUAACAAGGAGGAACCCGUUUGACCUUCCAUAUGAUUCUGACGAAGCGGCAAUUCCUGGCUCAGCUCCUUCAAUCCUGCAUGCAAGAAAGAACCCAUUUGAUUUUCUUGAGCAUUCCAGUGAAAGUGGCGUUUCUGCACAUGAUAAUUUAAGCCCUGGGGAAUCACCACAAACUUCUCAUCGUGAAAUAUUUAGAAGGCACGAGAGCUUCAACUUUGGAACUACAGAUGCCACGCAGGAGAGACGUUUGUCUAGAUUGAGGCCAUAUUUUGUCCCUGAGACAGUAGAAGGGAGCACAAGUACUUUUCAAAGGCAGUUCAGUGACAAGAGUGAGUCCAAAUUGAGUUCUGUUACUGAAUCUGAUAUGGCUUCUUCGGUUGCCGAUCAGGAGGAACACAAGGACCUCGAUGAAAAGGAUGUGCACAGGGAGCAUGAGUCACCAGCUCUCCUGAGACAGGACAGUGACCUUGCAGAUGCUGGCAGUGAAUGUUCAGAUGGUAUCAACUCCGUGGAUGUUGAACUAGACAACAGUGACAUUGAUGAGCGUGAGAUUGCUCUGCAUCAUUUUGUCUUCGAAAGAUCCGAAGAAAGAGAGGCAUAUCUUGUCUCAACAAAAGGGAAGGGUCAUGAUGACAAUUACAUGCUCAAGUCAGAUGGGAAUUCUACGGUGCCACUUCAUCCAGUUGGUGACUUGCUUAGCUGGGAUGAUGGGGAUGGUGAAAGCGUCCUGGGUGCCAAGUCUUCUAUAGCACCAAACAUAACAGCUGAAGUCUCAGAAUGGCUUUCUUCUCCUAGGCCAGCUGAAGAUCAUGAAUUGAGAUCAAGGGACCUUGGUCUUGGUGCCACCAGUAUUGCCGAGGAAGAUGGAAAUGUUGAUUCCAUGUCCUGUCCAAACAAUGAAAUCCCAUUACAAAACCUUAUUCAUGGGCCUAUGGACUUGCUAACUGAUUUUGAAAAGGAAACAUUACCAGCAAUAUCUAUGGACCUUCACCCUAUCCCUGAGGAGAGGGUUCUCGAGAACUUCAACAUGGAAGAAAAGCAUGAAACUGGAGCGUUUACUGGUUCUGGUACUGCCAUGACUGACUUGCAUGUAAUUGAAGAGCACUUUGAUGUUGCAUCGGAAGUAAGCCCAAGUUCUGUGGUUGCUUCCUUGUGUCCUCCUGGUGCGAGUGGUUCCAACCAAUCUCCAUCGAUUGAACCUAAAGAUGUAUCAAACCCAUUUUUUUCGGUGGCUUCUGAACCUGACAGGGUGGAUAUGGUUGAUAUGAAUGAAGAAAUGACUUCUGAUUAUCUACUUGAUUCUGAUGAUGAUGAUGCUGAUAGAAUCUAUCCUGAGCCUUUAGAGGAUAACGGUAUUGAUGAAAGUUUCCUGUCGGAACUGGAUGCGGUGGGAGACUUCCGGGUAGAACCGGUGAGACUGGAUCAGCAGGUGCCUGAUCUUAGCUCCCGUACUUACAACCCUGCUGAUGGUGUUGCAGAAGACUCCUUGAUUAGCCCUAAGACUUCUGGUGACACUGCCACAUCAGAUGCCUGUGCAUUAGACUCUGGCGGUCUGUCCCCAUUGGUUGAUUAUCUAAGCGGCACUGAUCCUGAAUUCAGUUGGUCAUUAGGAUCAUCUCAUGAUGAUCCUGAGCAAACUGUCUACAAUCCACGGCGAAGGAUUCUUGAAGCAAUGAACAGAGACUUGAAUCUACCAUGCGACGAACCAGAAGUCACAGAAAUGCCUUCAGUCAAUACACCAUCUGAAGCAUACUUAGUGGUUGGAACAACUGAACUGGAAGUUACUAAAAAUGAGCCCGGGACAGCUAAAACUGAUGCUGAGAUGAUGGCUGUUGAUGCCAAGUCCCUGGAGGACAUAGAGAUGGCCUUUAAACAAGCGAGUGGUGGUGGUGUUGAUGAGGCUGAAACCGCACACAUCUCAGGCGUUGAUAUUGACUUGGAGCCUUUAGAGGGUUCUGAAGAACUGCAUGUGAUUGAUGCAAAAUCUGUUGAAGACAUUUCUGCUGCUUUGAAGGAACACUCUAAUGUUAAUGUGAGCAAUUGCUUCGAACAAAGCGAAGAUGAAGUUGGAUGUGGAGAGGUUGCAGAAUGCGCGAAACACGACAGUCUUCCAGAAGGAACACAUGUUGAAAGUCUACAGAAACACCUACCAUGCCACGAGCCAGAAGUCACAGAAACACCUUCAGUCAAUACUCUGUCAGAAGCAUACUUAGCAGUUGGAGCAACUGAACUGGAAGUUACUAAAAAUGAGCUUGGGACAGCUAAAACUGAUGCUGAGAUGAUGGCUGUUGAUGCCAAGUCCCUGGAGGACAUAGAGAUGGCCUUUAAACAAGCAAGUGCUGGUGGGGUUGAUGGGCCCAUCCUUGACGCUGAAACCGCACUUAUCUCAGGCGUUGAUAUCGACUCAGAGCCUUUGGAGGGAUCUGGACAGUUGCAUGUCAUUGAUGCAAAAUCAGUGGAGGACAUUUCUGCUGUUCCAAAGGAACACUCUAGUGUUGAUGUGAACAAUUACUUUGAACAAAACGAAGAUAAAGUUGGAUAUGCAGAGGCUGUCGAGCGCCCGAGACACGACAGUCUUCCAGAAGGAGCACAUGUUGAAAGUCUGCAUUUGGCCGGAGAUGAUAGGGAGCCUGAAAGCAACAUGAGUUGUAUCGAGGCGAAGACCAUCGAUGACAUGAAUGCAGUGUUCAAGAAGCUGUCUGAUUGCCAUGAGAAAAGUACUGUAAAGGCAAUGGAGCCCGAGGAUGAUCGCGACGGAAGAGACGCAAGUGAACAACACUGA
rnacentral:rRNA from 1 species